GAUGAACGCUGGCGGCGUGCCUAAUACAUGCAAGUCGAGCGAACAGAUGAGGAGCUUGCUCCUCUGACGUUAGCGGCGGACGGGUGAGUAACACGUGGAUAACCUACCUAUAAGACUGGGAUAACUUCGGGAAACCGGAGCUAAUACCGGAUAAUAUAUUGAACCGCAUGGUUCAAUAGUGAAAGACGGUUUUGCUGUCACUUAUAGAUGGAUCCGCGCCGCAUUAGCUAGUUGGUAAGGUAACGGCUUACCAAGGCAACGAUGCGUAGCCGACCUGAGAGGGUGGUCGGCCACACUGGAAGUGAGACACGGUCCAGACUACUACGGGAGGCAGCAGUAGGGAAUCUUACGCAAAGGGCGAAAGCCUGACGGAGCAACGCCGCGUGAGUGAUGACGGUCUUCGGAUCGUAAAACUCUGUUAUUAGGGAAGAACAAAUGUGUAAGUAACUAUGCACGUAUUGACGGUACCUAAUCAGAAAGCCACGGCUAAGUACGUG
rnacentral:rRNA from 1 species